rnacentral:tRNA from 2 species
GGAGAGGUGUCCGAGCGGUCGAAGGAGCACGCCUGGAAAGCGUGUGUGCGGUAACCCCGUACCGAGGGUUCGAAUCCCUCCCUCUCCG